GAUGAACGCUGGCGGCGUGCCUAAUACAUGCAAGUCGAGCGAACAGACGAGGAGCUUGCUCCUCUGACGUUAGCGGCGGACGGGUGAGUAACACGCGGAUAACCUACCUAUAAGACUGGGAUAACUUCGGGAAACCGGAGCUAAUACCGGAUAAUAUAUUGAACCGCAUGGUUCAAUAGUGAAAGACGGUUUUGCUGUCACUUAUAGAUGGAUCCGCGCCGCAUUAGCUAGUUGGUAAGGUAACGGCUUACCAAGGCAACGAUGCGUAGCCGACCUGAGAGGGUGAUCGGCCACACUGGAACUGAGACACGGUCCAGACUCCUACGGGAGGCAGCAGUAGGGAAUCUUCCGCAAUGGGCGAAAGCCUGACGGAGCAACGCCGCGUGAGUGAUGAAGGUCUUCGGAUCGUAAAACUCUGUUAUUAGGGAAGAACAAAUGUGUAAGUAACUAUGCACGUCUUGACGGUACCUAAUCAGAAAGCCACGGCUAACUACGU
rnacentral:rRNA from 1 species